rnacentral:lncRNA from 10 species
UAUGGCAUAAAGUAAGCUGUGCUUAUAUAAAAACUGGGCCUUUAUUCAAGAACUGUGUAUUGAAUAUGCCAAGCAUUGAGCUUGGCAGUCGAGAUACAAAGAUGAAAAGUCAUAGCCUGUGACCUCAAAAAUUUAGAGGGACAAAAAUAGGAAACAGUACAACAUUAGUUAAAAUUGUUCAUUAAUGAGAGCAUAAGACAGUCACCUAAAGACUGUGUAGGGAAGUAGGAAAACUCUUCUAUGAAAGUAGCAUUUGAGUAGAGGUGGAUUGGAGAACGUCAAGCAGGGGGAAACAAAAAACAGAAAGGCCUUUGAGAGAGCUUUGCUUGUUUGGGGAUCAACUAGUAGUAGUUCUGUAUUACAGGAACUUAAUGAUGAUGAUACUCAACCUGCAGCUUAUAGAGGAAUUUAGUCUUUAUCUCCCCAGUGGAAAACCGGGGAAAAUGAAAUAAUUAGGUUUCCACAUUAGAUAGCAGUGUUGAUGGCGUGGUAUAAAUGAGGUAAAGUUAGAAAUCAAUUCACUGUGUUCAUUCUUUUCUAUGAGUCCGAAACUAGUCAGAGGGGCAAUGGUAAUAGAUGUGAGUCACUUAUUUACAUUAAUAAUCUCUCACUACAAGUUAAUCAAC